GGUCUAAUUAGAAAACACAAGUUUUUUCUAGUCUUCAAUAGUCUAUUGCUUGUGUCAGUUUAUAAAGUCCUUAUACACUUGACAAUAUUAAUAUAAUAGUAGCAACUUCAAUAGUUUUAGGCUAUCCUUAUAAUAUACAUGAUCAUGUUGGUAUUACAUGUAAGACUUAUAAAGCAUCAAUUUUAAUAUAUAUCUUUUUUGUUGUAAUAUUGUAUAAGAUUUUUUACUUAUUAGCAAUAGAUAAAACUGACUAUCAACCUGUCCUAACAACAAAACACCUUACAAUACAACUUUUAUAAAUGUGACCAAUCAUUUUAAA
rnacentral:lncRNA from 1 species